UAUAUUUUUUUUCAAAUAAAUUUACAGGUAAUGCAACAAUUUUUUGGUUUAGUCAACACCUUUCUACAGAACCACCAGGAUACAUGGAAAAGAAGAUUAGGAGUGCGUACAUACAAGGUAGUUCCAUUUACUCCAAGUGCCGGUGUUCUUGAAUGGGUUAAUGGCAGUCUUCCUCUUGGAGAAUAUCUUAUAGGAAGCACGAGAAAUGGAAGGGGCCAUGGUCGCUAUGGAGUGGGGGACUGGUCAUUUCUCAAAUGCCGAGAACACAUGGCAAAUGCCUGUCAUGCAUCAUUUUUUCUUGGAGAGGUUUUUGCAACCGGCUGACUGGUUUGAGAAGAGACUUUCAUACACGCGAAGUGUUGCUGCUAGUUCAAUGGUUGGUUAUAUUGUUGGCCUCGGAGAUCGACAUUCUAUGAAUAUCUUAAUUGAUCAAAUGACUGCAGAAGUUGUUCGUAUAGAUCUUGGCGUUGCCUUUGAACAAGGCUUGAUGCUCAAAACACCAGAACGGACUUACAAGGGACAUCAUUGAUGGCAUGGGUGUCACCGGAGUGGAAGGGUUUUUCAGAAGAUGCUGUGAAGAAACUCUUUCUGUUAUGAGGACAAAUAAAGAAGCACUACUGACCAUCGUUGAGGUUUUUAUCCAUGAUCCACUUUAUAAGUGGGCUUUUAUCACCUCUGAAAGCUUUUUGCAGCGUCAAAAGGAAACGGAUGAUGACUUGAAUUUAAGCUUUGAAGGCUCGCAAGAUGAAUAUGAAGGUAACAAGGAUGCUGCACGUGCACUGAUGCGUGUAAAACAAAACUCGAUGGAUAUGAAGAAGGGAAAUGCGAAGCAUACAUGGACAGGUUCAACUACUUAUACAAGAUGCGAUUGAUCCCGAGCGUCUUUGUCAACUGUUUCCUGGAUGGGGAGCGUGGUUAUGAUGGAUUCCUUCGUCGUCUUAGUCCCAAAAACUUUGAAUCCUCUUUGUACAGGCGGCUUUUGAAUGUAUUUCUUUUUGUAUAUAUACCCGAGCCGUUGUAUCGGGUGUAAGUUGGUCCGUAUAUAGUUCCAUAGGCUCCGAUGUAUAGGCCUACAGCUGGUGGUUGCACAACUUGCACCAGCUCAACUAGUGAUGUAUAUUAGGAAAAUGAUUUUCAUUUCACAAAAAGAAUAAAGUUACACUUUUUAGUAUGUAUACAAGCUGUGAAAGCCAGAUGUACAGUAACAUCUUUCUAACUAAGGAAAUCAUAUCAUAAC